GCUGCCGACACACAGACACAGUCGCGCACCGUUGCAGUUGUGUGGAAACCACCAGGACCGAGCUGGCAGUGCCGUGUGAGAGCGACGUACAGCGCACACCUAAACUCUACGUUGUACAGCAGUCGAAGACCCUCACCCGGACAGGGUUGCUUCCCGUGAAGACACACAUGCACACACACGCACACAUACCCACACGUACACCCAUACACGUCUUUCAUUGCCUGUUUUCUUCGCUGGCGAGUCUCGUGGAUAGAAUCAUAGAUUGUUGUACCAUACGUUACCGUAGAACUUGCAGAGUUGGGCGGCCAAGUCACCACACAAACAGGCCAACAACCACGUACAUCCCCACACCCCCACCAACAAAAAAGGCAAAGGUACGUGGAGAGGGAAAGCUGCAUCCUCUUGAUUCGAAUUUUAUCGGCUUCGCUUCUUUGCUCUUGCGUUUCUUCAUUUCACAGACGUGAGCACGUUCGUGCUGUGUCUCCCCGCGUUUGUGUGCGCAUGCGCCGAGAAUCGCCAACGAGUCGAGGUGAAAGGGUACGCUGGCUCACGCGCUCGCGCAUUGCCAGUGCCGACUACCGUGAUCUCCCACGUUUGAAGAACGGUGGCUCUAAAUGGAAAAAUCUUCGCCGCCGCCACUGAAUGCUGCGACACCGAGUGCCAGCGGCGCUCCUACCGCUAGCGCAGUGCUGGUAGCGCAGCAGCCGGAAGCUAGCACGCCCCCGCCGACGGCGGCGAUACCGUCUUUACGCACCAGGCCAGAAACUCGCGCAAGCGUUGCUCCGACAGAUGACGAUGGGGUGGACGCAGCCGCCGAUCGUGACGGAUCUUCUUUGUACACUGCAAGUGGCGAGCAGGGCUCAUGGAGGGGGCGGCAGGAGAACGCGGAGGCCGUUUCAUUUGCAGGCGACGCUUCUGCCUUGCAGAGUGAGAGUGCUGCCGCUCUCGAACCUGCGGGGUCUCCGCCGGCGCUGCGGCGGCCGUCGCUUCUGUUCGACACGGCGGUGACCACAGACGCGCUGUUUGCGCGCGUCCAGCAGCCACCACGACCGCCAGAGUUGCCACAGGCGCACCCACCCCCCUCUGCUGGCGAUACAAAGCCUCGGCGCACGGCAGGGCCGAUCUCUUCCAUUCUUGGACGUCCUCCGCCGGCACCGCAAACUACUAUGACCACUGCCGCAGCACCUUCGGGCGGCUCGUACUUGUACUCCCAUCCUACCCCGCAGCGCGACUCCUCCGCGUCUUCCUCUCUGGUAAUGCCGCCUGUUGUGCCUGGGCGGCCGCGCAGCGCCUCCCCCACCUCGACUGUGGACUACAUUGAUAUCGAGCAUAAGCAGAACGAGCUGCGUCACGCGGUGGAGCACCACGUGCAGUCCCUAGAGCGCUCUCUCGCCUUGCGUGAGGAGGAAGUGGCCACCCUGUCAUCGCGACUGCGCAAGCUCGAGGAGGACUACCAGUUCAACUACAACCUCAUAGCGGAGCGGGAUGCUGCAUUGGAGGAGGCCUCGGGGCAGCUACAGCGGCUCUACCGCGAACUGAAGCGCCUGACAGAGGAGUCGACGCGCAUGGAGAAGAUAAUCGACACGGCGGAGAGUGAUAUCAAGGCGGCUCGGCAGCGUGUGCGUGAGGUGGAGGAGGAGCGCGACGCUGCGGUGCGGCAAGUGCAGAAGGACUACAUCAUAAAGGAGCGCUAUUUGGCGGAGGCCGUGCGCGCGAAGGAGGCGGCGCUCGAGAAGGAGCAGGCGGAGCAGCACGCGUGGUACAAGGAGCGAGCCAAGGCGUUGGAGGAGGAGCGCGCCGCCAUGUCUGAUCGCAGUGCUUUGGUGUCCACGGAGACGGAGGAGCGCUUCAAGCAGCAGGUCGCCCGACUACAGUCUGAGGUGGCGGGGCUGCAACAGGCGCUGAAGGACGCUCGCCAGCAGAAGGCAGACGCCGAAAACCGUAUUGUGGCAACGGAGGAGGCGAACGCCGCCCUCACGCACGAGUCUGCCGUGGCCCAGCAGCGUCACGAGGCUCUCGCACAGGAGGCGGCACUCGCCAAGAGGAACUUGGAGGAUCGACUUGUGCGAGUUGUCGGCGACGCUGAAAAGCGUCUCCUCGCAGCAGAGGCGACUGCGCGGGAGGAAGCGGGCCGCGCCUCGCGCGCGGAGCUAGAGCGCACUCGUCUCCAGUCAAUGCUGGCAGAGGUGCAGGAGCGCUUGCAGCACCUAACGACGCGCUACGAUGAGGACGUCGCCCGCUUCACGAAGGAGCGGCAGCAGCUCCUCAAGAGCAGCGAUGAGGCGAUGGCAGCCACCACCUCAGCAGAGCAGGCAUUACACGACACGAAGCGGGAGCUGGAGCAGCAGCGCCGCCUGGCCGCGGAGGAGGCGACACGUCUGCGACGCGAGAUCGAGCGCGCGCAGGAGACGUCCGAGGCGACCCACAAGGAGCUCGUGACUGUGAAAGAAAGCUGUCACAAAUGGAGGGCGCAGGCACAGCACCUUGAGGCCGAGGUGCAUCGCUGGAAGACGGAGGAGAGCAAGACGGCGGCCAGUGGACGGCUGGAGUGCUCCGCAUUGGAGGAGAAGUGCCGGCAGGCCGAGCUUCGGGUGCAGCUCCUCGAGGAGGAGGUCCAGCAGGCAAAGAAAACUCGGCAAGGUGCGGUGGAGCAGGCGCAGGCCGAGGCGAUGCGGCUCACGCGCGAGCUUCACGCCAGCGAGGCGGCGCGUCGCGCUCUGGAGGAUCAGUUUCACCUGCAGGAAGACGUCAGGGAGGGGCGAGAUGGGCUUCAGAUGCUGCGCAUGGAGAAGGAGCAGCUGCAGAAGCGUGUGGCGGAGCUCGAGCACACCAACGCAGAAGUAAGACUGCAAGUGGCCAACUUCGCUGCUGAAUUGCAGAACGACCCGGUCAUCAAGGCUGCCAAAGAGACACAGCAGCGCGCUGUAGCGCUGCAGCAGGAGUUGGAACAGGCCAGGGCGGAGGUGCAGCUGCUGCAGGGCUCGCUGAGGGACAAGGAGGAGGAGAUGGCGCGACUGCAAACUGAGCUGUUGCGUGUGCAGGUUCUCGUCACCAGCGACGAAACAGAGUUGCCCCCUCUGGACAUGCAGACCCGGCUCGCCGCUGGCGCUGCCCACCUCAGCGACCACGUCUCGCGUGCGCUGCAGCGACAGCAGCAGCAGAUGCGCUCAGAGUACAGCCGCAUGCGCGAAUCAUACGAGGAGAUGGUGCGCGAGCUGGACCGACAGCGACGUCGUCGGCGCAGGCCGGCGCGACGUUCGCGCACUGCAUCAGCGGCCUCGUCGUCCUCGACGAACUCUUCGUCAACUCGGGAAGCCGAGCUCCCGGGGCGACAUCGCAAGCGAGGGGGUGAGGAGCCGCCGGCCGCCGCCGGCGCCUCCGUUCCGCCAGCACUUCCCGACUCCAGGACGACACACCUCCUGCAGGAGUCGGAGGUGUGGCGCCAGCGAUGCGUGCAGCUGGAGCAGCAGUUGCUCACCGUGCUGCGUGAGCGCGAUCGCCUCAAGAAGGAGCUGCAGCUGGCCAAACAGGACGCCGCGGCCCUCGGUGCCGAGAAGGCUUCUCUGGUGGACCUUAACUCGCUUCUGAAGGCGCAGCUACGAGAGGCGUAUCGGCUGCGUGCGGAUGACGCUAACGUUCGGCUGGCGCGAGGACCCACGACGGCCAACCCCUCUGCCCGUGGAUCGGAGGUACGCAUCUCUCCUGAACUUUUGGCGGCAGCUCUCCAGGCGUUGGAAGACGGCACUGCUGCCGGUUGCGACAUAGCGGGCAGGCCUCGCGCGCGGAGUGCGGCGGGUGCGGAGGCAAACACGACGCGGCGCCGCUCACGCGCCGACGAGGCAUCAACGCUGAAGGAGUCGCCUGUUGUGCGCUCCACCCGCGGCUAUUCCGCACCAUCGCCCUCGCCCUCGCCCGUUGCUUCGCAAUCCAUGUCAGCGCAGCAGGCGCAGGAGCGGUUGACCACGCUGGAGCACGAGAUAGAGGCCGUUCGUGAGCAGCUCGCUACCGCCUCUAGCACGGCGCAGCAGCAGCGCCAACACGGCCAGGCGGUGGUUCGCCGUGGCAACGCGGCUGUGCGGCACUACGGUCUCGGUGACUGAGGCUGCUCCUGAAGUAGUCUACGAGGGGCACAAGUACCACACUUUUUUUGUUUGCUUUUGUGCGGCUUCUCCAGCAGCGCACUUACACCGUGGACGGGCGAUGCGAGCAAUAAGGAUUGCCUGCGAGUCGGCGAAGGGGAGGGUGUGGAGGGCCGACACGAGCGCCACCACAAACUCUUUCCAUGGAUCGCUCGAGCGAUAGCGACCGAGAGGUGCCGGGAAGAUGGG
rnacentral:misc_RNA from 1 species